rnacentral:lncRNA from 1 species
UCUUGAUUCUAAUGUGAAGAAAUGCUGUGAUGUUUACAAGUGGGAUCACCAGUGUCCCCUAGGAAGAUCACAGAGAGAGAAAGAAGAUGGAACUAGCAGAGAAUUUGAUAUCCAGCCAAUUCAGAGGGUAAGAGGAGCCAGGCCCUCGGGAUGCUGAGAUGAGAACCUAAUAAAACGGCAAUUGAUGCAAUCAAGAGCAACUAUAGGGUUGGAUGUCAGAACGAAUUUGAAAAGGCUGGGUAUUGACUCUCCAAGGCUGGCACACGGCGGGCCCUACUCUUUCUAUUUGCAAAUUCAAGUGAAUUUCAUGGAUUGCCAAUAAAUUUAUACUUUCU